AAGGUGUCUGUAUCCUCAACUACCUUGACGACUGGCUGAUUCUCGCUCACUCUGGAGCGCGGUUGUAUGAGCACAGGGAUCUGGUGCUCAGACACCUCACCCGUCUGGGUCUUCGGGUCAACUGGGAAAAGAGCAAACUCUCCCCCGUGCAGAGGAUCUCUUUUCUCGGUAUGGAAAUAGACUCGGUUGCCAUAUUCGAGCACGCGCAGUCACUGCUGAAUUGCCUGAGUCAAUUCGAGGGCAAGAGAGCGGUUCCACUGAAACUGUUUCAGAGGCUCCUGGGGCAUAUGGCAUCCGCAGCGCAGCAGUAAUACCGCUCGGGUUGCUCCAUAUAAGACCGCUUCAGCACUGGCUUCACGACCGAGUCCCAAGAUGGGCAUGGCAACAGGGCACGCUUCGAGUGACUGUCACUCCGGCCUGCCUCCGAACCUUCACCCCGUGGUUGGACCUCUUGUUUUUGCUGGCUGGCAUUCCCCUAGAACCAGUGUCCAGACAUGUUGUUGUGUCAACAGAUGCCUCUGCCACGGGCUGGGGUGCCAUUUGCAACGGGCAUGCUACGUCAGGUUCUUGGACAGGACCCCGACUUCAGUGGCAUGUCAAUUGCCUCGAGUUGCUAGCAGUACGGCUUGCUCUGCACCGCUUCAGGGCCCUGCUGAAGGACAAGCACGUUCUGGUCUGUACGGACAACACUGCGACCGUAGCAUACAUCAACCGUCAGGGCGGUCUACGCUCCCGCCGCAGGUCGCAACUCGCCCACCAUCUCCUCUUGUGGAGUCAGAAGCAUCUGAGGUUGCUUCGUGACAUUCACAUUCCGGGCAGGCUCAAUCGUGCAGCCAACGAGCUUUCACGUCAGCAGUCUCGCCCCGGGGAAUGGAGACUCCACCCCCAGUUGGUUCAGCUGAUUUGGGAACACUUCAGAGACGCUCAGGUAGACCUGUUUGCCUCUCCAGAAAAUUCCCACUGCCAGUUGUUUUACUCCCUGACUGAGGGCACCCUUGGCACGGACACUCUGGCGCACAGCUGGCCUCUGGGCCUGCGCAAGUAUGCGUUUCCCCCAGUGAGCCUUCUUGCACAGAACCUCGGCUAGAGCCUUGUCUACCAGACACACCUAUGCUCUGAAGUGGAACCUCUU
ensembl:lncRNA